UUUGAUGAUGAAUUUUUAACCCUUACCUACAUUGUUUGAGACUCAUGAAAAGCAAACAUAUCUGAUAUCAAG
rnacentral:snoRNA from 1 species